UACGUAGGGCGCAAGCGUUUGUCCGGAAUUAUUGGGCGUAAAGAGCUCGUAGGCGGUCUGUCGCGUCGGAUGUGAAAGCCCGGGGCUUAACCCCGGGUCUGCAUUCGAUACGGGCAGACUAGAGUGUGGUAGGGGAGAUCGGAAUUCCUGGUGUAGCGGUGAAAUGCGCAGAUAUCAGGAGGAACACCGAUGGCGAAGGCAGAUCUCUGGGCCGUAACUGACGCUGAGGAGCGAAAGCAUGGGGAGCGAACAGG
rnacentral:rRNA from 1 species